GGGAGGCGAUCGCAGCCUCUGGUCCCGCGGGGGGUUGGGGGGUGCACCGGGGAAGGCGGGGGACCCGGGACUUCCAAGUGUAUCCAGGACUAAGAAGAGAUGCACGGCUGACGCCCGACAGUGACUCCUCCGUAACAUUCCGUGUCCCUGGCGCUCCACAGCCUCGCCCAAGCUCUGGCUCUAAAUGACACUGUCUUUAUUAAUUUUUCAAAUAACAAAAUGAACAUCGAGUAGUCCCUGUUGAGUGUUCCCUCUGUGUAGGAAAUAUAACUUACAUGUACUUGCUUAUUUUUCCUUGCACAAAAUCCUAUGAAGUAGCAUCAUUCCUAUUUUGCAUACAAGGAAACCAAAACCACGGAGAUGCUAAGAUAAAUAUCCCAAGAUGACUCAUCUGGGAAACGCCAGAUCUAGGAUGUGGACCUGCUGCUCAACUAUUGGUGUCUACAUUUCAACUGGAUACUUCUUCAAAGGCAAUUCUGUCCAUGUGACUCAUAGAACAGUUCUUGGCUGGUUUUCCUACCAGCCAAAUCAGAGACUCUCAAGCUUCAGCCUAAUCAUAGCCCAUGGAAUCCGAAACUAGGAGUCAGCAAAGGUCAAGAAUUUUCAGGGUAGCUGUCCAACGAGAGAAUUUCAAAUAUCAAGCUCCGAGACUGCUCACUCUCAGAAUGGCCUUUUCUAAAAUGUACUGAAUCGAAAAGUUGUUAUUUGUGUGUUGGCCGUGCUGGGUCUUGGUUGCCGUGAGGACUUUGUCUAGUUGCGGUGUCCGUUGUGGUCCGCAGGCUUCUCUUCGCAAAGCAUGGGCUCUGAGAACAGACUUCAGUGGCUGUGGCACAUGGGCACAGAUGCCUCAGGCCACGUGGGAUCUUCCUGGACCAGGUACUGAACCUGCGUUCUCUGCAUUGGCAAGCGGAUUCUUAGCCACUGGACCACCAGGGAAACCCUCAGCAAGGUCUGUUAAGUGACUGAUCCGUUGAUCAAUCCAUUCAACAGGUUCCGGGGCCGCAUCACUGGGCUAUUUUAAAAGUGGAGAGACCAUGCUCCCAGGACUGCCCGGUGAUCAGACCUCCAUCCUCAAGACUGCCCCUGGCUUGGAAGCCUCAGCUGGGUGGGAGGCAGUCCCCUGGUCCAAUCUUCCGUUCCCAGCAGAGCUCCUGCCUCCCACGCUGAGACGUCUCCAAGCUUCUGGGAGAGUUGCCCCUUUCAGGAGGGAAGUGUCAUCAGCGGUCCCACUGCAGAACAAAGUCAUCACCUGCCAUGAACACGCACUAUCGUUUUUUUUCAUCUUUAAGGGGAAACUCACACCUCCUCAAGCAGGUCACCUUGGAACAAGCUGCUGGAUGGAUCAGUUUGGAGGAAGGAAGGUUGAGAUAACUAACUUCAUGAGUGCGUGCUCAGCCGAGUCAGACGCUUUCCUGAGCCCCAUGGACUGUAGCCCACCAGGCUUCUCUGUCCCUGGAAUUUUCCAAAGAAAAAUAUUGGAACGAGUUGCCAUUUCCUUCUCCAGGGGAUCUUCCUGACCCAGGGAUGGAACCUGCAUCUCUUGCACCUCCUGCUUUGACAAGCAGAUUCUUUACCACUGAGCUAUGUGGUAUGAAAUUAUAAUAAAAGAUUUCCAUACACCUGUCAUAUAGAUAAUUGAUUUCUGUUCCAAACACAGACAACUAUGUCAUCUGUGAAUCUGUGAUUCAGUUAUGAAAGUUUCUAUGGUUUGUGUUCAAACAGAUUUGAGCAAUGAAAGAAAUAUUGUGUCUAGGCAUCUGUUGGUUACAACAGCUCGGUAGCCAAUUCCUGCUGUAUCUCCCCCAUAGGACCCCGAUUUGGUUGAAGUUUAGAGAAACCAUGUGCCAGGGAGGGUGGACUAGGAGGAUGAUAAGGGAGACAACUUCGUGGAUCUUAACCAGUCAUGAGAUUCUUAAGGUUCCCUAUGCUAGUGAUGGACUUAAAGGCAGGCAUUCUAAACUCGGCAUAAGAAAGGUAACAGCAAUCUGCUGCAGGUUCUGGGAAAAUACUGUAUGAAAAGAUUCAUCAAAAGAUUCAUUCUUUUUGUUUCAAGGGUUGUCAUGUAAGUCUUGACCAAAUAAGUGAAUAAAUAAUUAAAAAUAUUGUGUGUUUUUUUUUUUAAGUAAUGCUCGAAGCUGCUAUCAGUUGCAGUUAUUAGGGAAAGCCAAAACACUCUGAAAGAGACCAGUUGUUGAGUGGCUGACUUAACCCCUUCUGGAGACACCCUGCCCCAUUACUUUCUGAUGUGCCCUUACCAUUUAAACUGCUUUUAAUGAGGAGUUUUGUUCCUUGAGCCAAAACCAAUCCAUUGACACAUGGUACCCUAUUAAGUAAGAAGGAAAAUAACAUGGGUGAGAUUUAGUCUUCAUAUCAUUUUUCGGUCACCGGUGAAAGGUAAAGUAGUGGACAGAAAACUUAUUGCACUUUCUGUGUGUGUUAGUCGCUCAGUCGUGGCCGAUGCUUUGCGACCCCAUAGACUGCAGCCCACCAGGCUCCUCUGUCCAUGAGAUUUUCCAGACAAGGAUCCUGGAGUGGGCUGCCAUUUCUUU
ensembl:lncRNA